rnacentral:rRNA from 1 species
UACGGGGGGAGCAAGCGUUGUUCGGAUUUACUGGGCGUAAAGGGCGCGUAGGCGGCCACUGCAAGUCAGUUGUGAAAUCUCCGGGCUUAACCCGGAAAGGUCAACUGAUACUGCAGGGCUAGAGUGCAGAAGGGGCAACUGGAAUUCUCGGUGUAGCGGUGAAAUGCGUAGAUAUCGAGAGGAACACCUGCGGCGAAGGCGGGUUGCUGGGCUGACACUGACGCUGAGGCGCGAAGCCAGGGGAGCGAACGGG